GAGGGUGUCACAUUGCAGGAAGCAGUGUGCAUAAUCAGCGGAUAGAGCGGCUCUGGCGAGACAUGUGGUGCACAGUUACCUGCAAUUACUAUGCAUCAUUUCAGUACCUGCAAGAAGUGGGUGCACUGGACCCUGAUGAUGAACUCCACCUCAUUUGUUUACACUGUGUCAUGAUUCCACGACUCAACCAGCAUCUUGAGAUGUUCACCAGGGGCUGGAACAGUCAUCCUCUCUCAACACAGCAAAUGAGGACACCUGACCAAUUGUGGAUCCAAGGACAACUGCAAAACUAUAGUGAAGACCACGUUUCAUCUGAACCAUGGCAUUCAAAUAUGUCUGACUUCACAGAUUACGGAAUAGACUGGGACGGACCUGUUCCCCACCAUGACCUGGAUCGUGCUGUAGAGGUUCCGGAGCCUCCUUUGUCUUAUCUCCACACAUUUGAACAAACCUUAAGACAGCACACUGACCCUCUACAGUCAAGCACAUGUUUUGGACUGGACAUAUAUUUGGACGCUCUUCAGUUUGCCAGUCAUCGCCAUUCUUAACUAUUUUACCUGACAAUCUCCUGUUUUUCUGUGCAGUUUAUACCAGAAGGAAACACUCACUGUUCAAAAUGACAUUUAUUUGUAAAAAAUGACAUUGCCACAAGAGGGCAUUUCAGUGAACUGUUGACAUAUAAUGCUGUCAAUAAAAUUGAACACUGCAGAA